rnacentral:lncRNA from 1 species
UGACCAUUCAAACAACACAGUUCAUACAGUUUUAUCAAACACAACUAUUUCUGCUGGAAUGUCAAGCAGUGUACAUCAUAAAGAUGUAUCAAACACAACUGUUCUUUCUAGUCCAUCUGGCACUACAUUGUCUGUAUCCAGCGCAGCUGGUAAUCAUAUCACUACAUCUGUAAUAGUUUCAAACUCAACACACUCUAAAGUUGUCACCACCUCAACCACAUCUUCACUGCAAACCACUCAUCUAUCAACUAAAGCCUCAACAGGUUCAGCAGUACCAGGCGAGGGAUUUGUUAUUCUGCAGAUCCGUUUACAGCGACAAUACAUUGAUGCUUACAAUAAUCCUGCUUCUAUGGAGUACCAGAUUCUGUCCAGAAACAUCACUAUUGAGCUCAAUCGAAUCUACCGGGAAAUUUAUGGGACCCGCUUCCUCAGAUGCUACGUGAUAAGAUUAUGGCCUGGGUCAGUGGGUGUGGAUACAGAACUUAUUUUUAAAAACCAGACUGUGCUUCCAAAUGCAACAAGCAUUGAAGAAUCUCUAAAGACAGCA